rnacentral:rRNA from 1 species
CCAAUAGCGUAUAUUAAAGUUGCUGCAGUUAAAAAGCUCGUAGUUGAAUUUCGGGACUAAUAUGUUGGUCGUGCCUCGGUACGUACUGGCUUGUUGGUUUCUACCUUCUGACGAACCAUGAUGUCAUUAAUUUGGUGUCUUGGGGAAUCAGGACUGUUACUUUGAAAAAAUUAGAGUGUUUAAAGCAGGCUCACGCUUGAAUACAUUAGCAUGGAAUAAUGAAAUAGGACGUUUGAUUCUAUUUUGUUGGUUUCUAGGAUCGACGUAAUGGUUAAUAGGGAUAGUUGGGGGGCAUUAGUAUUCAAUUGUCAGAGGUGAAAUUCUUGGAUUUAUUGAAGACUAACUACUGCGAAAGCAUUUGCCAAGGAUGUUUUCAUUAAUCAAGAACGAAAGUUAGGGGAUCGAAGACGAUCAGAUACCGUCGUAGUCUUAACCAUAAACUAUGCCGACUAGGGAUCGGAUGAUGUUAAUUUUUUAAUGACUCAUUCGGCGCCUUACG